UUUGGUGAUGAUGGCGAAGAGGUCACACCCGUUCCCAUUCCGAACACGGAAGUUAAGCUCUUCAGCGCCGAUGGUAGUUGGGGCAUUGCCCCUGUGAGAGUAGGACGUCGCCAAGC
rnacentral:rRNA from 1 species